rnacentral:rRNA from 1 species
ACUACGGAGAGUUUGAUCCUAGCUCAGGACGAACGCUGGCGGCAGGCUUAACACAUGCAAGUCGCACGAGAACGUUCUGGCUUUGCCAGAACAAGUACAGUGGCGGACGGGUGCGUAACGCGUAGAUAACCUGCCUUCAGGCGCGGGGCAACCACGGGAAACCGUGGCUAAUACCGCACGACGUCUAAGUCCCGCAUGGGAGUUAGAUGAAAGCCUUCGGGUGCCUGAAGAUGGGUCUGCGUCGGAUUAGCUCGUUGGUGGGGUAACGGCUCACCAAGGUAACGAUCCGUAGCUGGUCUGAGAGGAUGAUCAGCCACACUGGGACUGAGACACGGCCCAGACUCCUACGGGAGGCAGCAGUGGGGAAUCUUGCACAAUGGGGUAACCCCUGAUGCAGCCAUGCCGCGUGGAGGAAGACACCCCUAUGGGGCGUAAACUCCUUUUCUGC